AAUCUGUGGUAUGGGCAUUUAUGAAUUAGUGUCUUAAAACACCACUAUGCUUCGUGAAAGCUUUCCCCCUCUAACUGUUUAAACAUCAAAAUUUUCCUUCUUAGCU
rfam:Gossypium raimondii Chr02_contig_606, whole genome shotgun sequence.